AGCGAACGCUGGCGGCAGGCCUAACACAUGCAAGUCGAACGAACCUUUCGGGGUUAGUGGCGGACGGGUGAGUAACACGUGGGAACGUGCCUUUAGGUUCGGAAUAACUCAGGGAAACUUGUGCUAAUACCGAAUGUGCCCUUCGGGGGAAAGAUUUAUCGCCUUUAGAGCGGCCCGCGUCUGAUUAGCUAGUUGGUUGAGGUAAUGGCUCACCAAGGCGACGAUCAGUAGCUGGUCUGAGAGGAUGAUCAGCCACAUUGGGACUGAGACACGGCCCAAACUCCUACGGGAGGCAGCAGUGGGGAAUCUUGCGCAAUGGGCGAAAGCCUGACGCAGCCAUGCCGCGUGAAUGAUGAAGGUCUUAGGAUUGUAAAAUUCUUUCACCGGGGACGAUAAUGACGGUACCCGGAGAAGAAGCCCGGCUAACUUCGUG
rnacentral:rRNA from 1 species